UACGAAGGGGGCUAGCGUUGCUCGGAAUCACUGGGCGUAAAGGGUGCGUAGGCGGGUCUUUAAGUCAGGGGUGAAAUCCUGGAGCUCAACUCCAGAACUGCCUUUGAUACUGAAGAUCUUGAGUUCGGGAGAGGUGAGUGGAACUGCGAGUGUAGAGGUGAAAUUCGUAGAUAUUCGCAAGAACACCAGUGGCGAAGGCGGCUCACUGGCCCGAUACUGACGCUGAGGUGCGAAAGCGUGGGAGCAAACAGG
rnacentral:rRNA from 1 species